AUAGGGAAGACAGUGUAAUAAAAGCUAAUUUUGAAAUGAAGAAUUUUAAAGAUUUUCAACAGCAAUUGCUCUAGGAAGUCACCCUGGAAAUGUUUUUAAAGAUGUUCAAUAGCAAUAGCUCUAGGAAGAGUCACCCUGGAGUUGCUUCUUGAGCAUUGGUUUCCUGGCUGUAUCUUCCAACUUUCAUUUUUAAGUUUUGCUGUGAGUUGGGGAUGUGUGGGAAUAGCCAUCCCAGCCCUGCAGGGGGGUGCAUGUGCCCCGAGGCCUGAGGCACUGUUUCAACCUAGCUUGCAACAUGGGGACUCUUGUCAGUGGCUGGAGUAAGAGUACCAGCCUGGCAGGCUGGGGGGAGCCCCAGGGUGGUCUGGGCACUGUCCUCCCUGCCUGCAGGAUGGCAGCUGGAGGAGCUCGAAGGCUGCCUGCCUCGUGGCUGUCAGCGCAGCAGCCCCUCCUGGCCCUGGAGCAAUCUUUGGGUCCAUGAGUCUCUGCACCGGGACUUGCCUCCUGGGACCUCCGCCACUGUCCUGAGGGCCCUGGUGCCACUUUCCCGGUGGGACCCAAGCCUCAGGCAGCUGCGACCCCAGAUUCGGUUGCUUUCCCUGCCGUCUCAUUGCAGCACGAGUGCUCAUCUCACUCAAUGUAGAACCUCAGGUUCCUUCAAGAUCCCCAGAGAUGGAAUCUCCCAAUUUAACAAGAUAGUUGGUGACAAGAUUUGAGCGGCACUGAUUUAACUCAGCUUCCAGAGUUUAAGUUCCCAAGACACAGUCCUGCUCCUUCCCUGGCCUCAUCCUGUGUGGCUGGUGUGGAUGCGGGGUUUCCGGAGGGUGGGGCUGUGGCAGGUCAGCAGCCAGGGGGAUGGCUCAUUAUUGAUCGCUCAAUGCCUUGAGGAUAACUAGGAUUAAUGACCUUUAUAGGGCUGUAGGUUUGGAGUAUAUAUAUAUGUGUGUGUAUAUAUAUACAUAUUUAAACGAGGUGGACACGGUUAUCACUGCAUUUUUCUGACAUGAAACUUGGAGAGCAGAGGGUUUAGGAAACUCCUGAAGCCACACUGUCAGCGGGACUCGGGCGGUCUGGCCUUAGACCCUGCACUGUUUGCCCCUCACCACGCUGUCAGCAGACCCGGGUGGUCUGGCCUUAGAACUCACGCUGGUCGCCCCUCCCUGCCACGUUGUGGGGUUUUUCCUGCUUCUGGGCAGCAUUUGAUAGCUUGUGAAACAAGACCAAGACUUACUAUGAGUGGAUUUGCCAUUAUCUGAGAUCCAGAACGUUUCCUGGACCUGGCGUUGCCGAUGUCACGUAAGGGAAGGUAAAAACAUUUUCAUUGUGGUCACUGGGGCUCCUGAAAUGGUAUUUUUCCCAGUGAAAGUUUACUCAUAAAAAUCUUUAACUCAAUACUAUGUGAACAGGAAGAAAUGUGUUGGGCUCUAGUUAAAUGUCUCAGAGCCACAGAAGUAAAUGAGGGCACCUUCCGAGCACAGCCUCCCGGAAGAGGCCAAGGACGUUUGUCUGGAGGGUUUGCCAUGAAGCAGGACUUGGGCAGGGCUGGUCUGCCUAGGGAGGCCUCUGCCAUGAUGUAGGUUAGUUGAAGUAGUUGACGGGUGGUGGCUUGAGGUCGGUGGUCCCCGAGGAAGCCCCUAGCAAGGCCGGUUUCCGUGGGAUGGAAAACUGCCGUUCAGUGGCUGUAAUCUUGGCUUCACGGGUCUGACAUACAAUCCUGCCCUCGGAUACUUGGAUCCCAGCCAGGGCAGAUGGCCCUGAAAGGACAUUCGGACUGUGAUGGCUGCACCCAUUCUCAGCAUCUGUAGGGUCUCCUAUGUAUGUCUGUGUUUCCAUUUUCUUUUAGCACAAUUUCUCCCAGUGAAGUCGUGAGAAAUAGAAGGAAAGGUGGAAUGAAGAUGUGAUUGAGGAAAGUGUGGUGUGGUCUUCGACCUUAUUUUGCCUUGGUUGGUGCUCAAGAACUCCACCUGACCUCAGAGCUGAGCGUUUCUGCCAGGAAGUCCUGCCUUUUAUCCUACCUCGAGGCCUGUUGAGACACUCCAAGAAGCUUCGUUAACAAAUUGCCUUUUCCUUUUACAGCAGUUGGAUAUAUUUGCAGCAAAACAAAGGAAUAACCCCCCAAUAUGGUGAUGAAAUGCAUUUAAGUAUAGAUAGCAUUCAGUCUUGAAGGGCCUGAGAUUUUAAUCAUCUUUGGGUCAUGUAACAAGUGGUGUUGGUGAUUAAAAUCUCCUGACAGCUUUGUUCUGCCACGUUCCUCAGUUUUGAAUGAUGAUCUUCCUGGUGUUGUACCUUGGGAGGGGCGUUUGUGUCAGUAGAGAGCAGAGUGGUGGUUCCCAGAGGCUGCGAAAGGACAGAGGUGAGGCCCCUGAAGGACACUGGUCUUCCUGGUUUAGGGGUUUGGGGCUCAGCCACCUUCCUGUGUCCGUGUAAAUUAUACCCAGGAUCAUUUUCACUCGCCCCACUUUAGUUGAGUAUUGGAGCUUCAGGAUAUGUGUGCCCACGUCACCUGGGCCGUGAUCCUGGAGUUGGGUGAGACUGAUUCCCGGGUUUAUAGAAUUACUCUGGGAUUAUUGAAAACAGAAGCACUUGAGGCAUUCAUAAUGCUAUUUCCUGAACGUAAUUUAUGUUCAGUUCUUCAGAAACAUUUAUCUGAGGAAGCAUCUAUAAUUUUUGUUUUCUGCCACUCAGUGCUAGAAAGAAUUGUGCAACACUCAAGUGAGUGGCAUUAUUCCUCUCCCUCCACCAUGCAAGCAAGAUUAAAGGUACCUCUGGCUCCCCUCAAUCUUCUCAUCUGCAGGGUGCCUGGCGUGGCAGUGUGCUGCCUUCCGUCUUCUUUUUGGGGAGAAUUAGUUGUGUUUGUGUGUACUGCUCAGCUCAGCCUCGUGCAGUUGUGUGGGUGAGGAGCUUGGAUGCUAGGUGACCCUCCCAGGCCUGCCUCCCACCUCCCUAGGCCUUGUUCUAAACUGACAGAUAAACAGUGUGUUUUGGAAGAGGACAGCAGCAGGGCAGGAGAGAGUUUGUUCAGACUUUCUCCUUGCACUGACGUUUGAGCCUUCAUCCAGCCUGGGCACUUUUACAGAGCUGCGUUUGUGUGUUGCAAACCAUUCCCUCCCAGUAACCGUGCUUUCAGAGGUUUGGAAAUGUGACUUAACUCAUCUUCAAUUUAAAGCAUACUAUCAAAUUUUAGUGUUGAAACUGAUGUAUUUUAUGGCCUUUAUUUGAUUUCUCUUGAUUUUUUUUCCCAUAUGAGACAGGGCAUCUUAAGGGACACAGCCUGGUGUUGGCCGCCUUUCCUAAGGAUGGAAGUGAAUUCUGAAAGCCCUUUAUGUAGGCAGCGAAGGCCUCUUUUAUUUUGGCCUAGUCAGGUAUAUAAUUCUUUUUCUCUUUGGUUUUUUUGAGACAGGCAAAAAAACCUUUUUGUUGCCCAGGCAGUGGUGUGAGCACAGCUUACUACAGCCUCAACCUCCCAGGCUCAAGUGAUCUUCCUGCCUCAGUCUCCUGAGUAGCCAGGACCCACAGGCACAUGUUCCAUGUGUCCCCAUGCCUGACUUAGUUUUGUAUUUUUUGUAGAGAUGGAGUUUUGCAAUGUUGCCCAGGCUGGACUUGAACUCCUGGACUUAAGCAGUCCAGCUGUCUCAGCCACCCAAAGUACUGAGAUCACAGGCAUGAGCCACCGUGCCUGGCCAAGUGUGUUUCUAAUUUCAAAAUUAAGAGGACACCCAUCCAGUUAAUUACAUCUCUAUUGGAACAUGCUGCUUAUAGUGCAUUAGGAAAAAUCAUCCAGAACUUGGAAAAGGAGCUGGACAGACACAGCCCUUCGAGGUUGUCCGAUGAACCCCUGGGGUCUUUAACUAUCUGGAGGGAUGUACCAUGUCAGACUCACUGUUGACCGGCUGAAGCCCAGGUUUCAUGAGGUUAUGUGUCAGCUUGUAGUACUUUCUCUGGCAGAGAUGCGAGUGACUUCUGCUCAGUGACAGGCUCAUCUCAGGGACUUCAUGGCCUGAGGGACGGCAGCCUGUUUGAGCUGAUCGAGCAAUCUCGCACUACCCUUAUUUUCUGAAACGCCUAUGAGUGACUUCUCACACGGUCUUUGAAGCGGCUUCAUGCCCGCGCUCCUUGGUAAUGAUCGAAUGCUUUUUUUGACCCCUCAUCCCUUUCUUUGGGGUGUUCCAGUCUCAGUUCUCAUGAUGUGUUCUGCUUCUGCAGGAAUUUCUGAAGCUGCUGAGUGUAGAAAGCACUGAGGAGGCUGUGCUCCCACCCCUGUGAGCCUUCCAGGCAUCAUCCUCUCCCCUUGGUGAGGCAGCGUCCAUGACACACCGAGGAGGCUGUGCUCCUGUCCCCCGUGAGCUUUCCAGGCAUCCUCGUCUCCCCUCCAGGAGGACAGGAGGAACCUUUCAAACCCUUCUUAAACUUGUUUUCAUGUCUUUGUUUUAACAGUUUUCUUUGCAUCGUCUCCCUUAUCCAGAAGUGAGGGUGAACGCUGAGUUAUUCACGGGAGUCAAGAAACCACACGCAGCCCAAAGUGACGUUUGUUUCCCUGAAAUGAUUUGUGUGUGUUCACCUUAAAAUGCAACUCAGUAAAACAGCUGAAUUCAAGAAAGGGAAACAAGCAGACAGAGUAAGUACCAGAAAGCGUCUAAGUGGCUGGGUGGGGGAUCCUACUAUGGUGUUGGAUUGUGUUCUGCCAGACAUCGCUCCUCGAAAAGCUGACCCUGAAACGGCUGGCAUUGCCCUCACCCUGGGACAUUCGUCUGUCUCACCAGAAAAUGAAGAAUCUGCCAGAGUACUGUGAGUCAAAUUCAGUCAGAACUCGAUUAACUAAGAGGCUUUGUCUCAAAGGCCAAAACAUGAGGACACAUUUUUAAUUUUUAAGGAGUGCUUCAUUGUGAGUCAGUUCUGAUGUGUACUGCAUUAGGAAACCUCUGAACUUCCACGGUCAGGCCCAGAACUCUGAGGGAAAGUGGUUGUGCCCUUCCCACUGUUUUUGUCACUAGCUGUAUUGAUUUCCUUAAAACCCUUUUUAUAUGAGUUCUAUUAUAGUUUGAAAAAAAUUCACUUAGGUAGAACUGGAAGCGUUUGCGCCGUGUUAAUACUCAUGACCCGUUCUGGGUCUCGGUGUAUGUGUACUGUAUAAAUGUACAUGUGUGUAUGUGGUGUACGCAUACUACGUGUAUUUCCACUGCAUGUAUUUACAGUGUAUAGGUAUGUACACUACAUUUGUGUCCUACACACGUGCAUGCUGUAGGCAUGCAUGUACAUGUGUAUAUGUGUGUAUCUACGGGGAUGAUUAUAUGCACACUAGUUGGACACCUAUCUGUUCUACAUGUGUACAUACAUGCAUGUAUUUAAUGCCACAUACAUACCUGUGUACGUGCACCAUGUGGGUAUGUGCACAUUAUUUCUGCAGAUGUAUAUAUACAUAUGUGCACACAAGCAUGCAUGUACACUAUGCACACUGAAUAAACUUCUGGAUAUGUACACAAUAAUACGUAUACAUGCUGCAUAUGUACGUACACUAUUGCAUAUGUGUAUACGUUUUAUACGUUAGUGUACUGAUGUACAUUGUAUACAUGUGCAUAUGUGUACCCUGCACAUGUGUAUGCAUGCUGUAGUGCACCUACGUACAUUGGAUAAGAAUGUAUGUUAUAUGCAUGUGUAUACAUAUAGCAAAUAGCAUACCUGUGUACAUACGGAUGUGCAUGUGUAUGCCAUAUGCAUGUACAUACAGGUUAUAGUAUACCUGUGUACACUGUAUGCAUAUAGACGUGUGUGCAUGCUCUGCAUGUACAUACAUGUUAGCAUACCUAUGUACAUUUGCUAUAUGGAUGUGUGUAUGCUCUAUGCUUGUACACACGUAGUGAACUUGUUUGUACACUAUAUAUAUUUGGAUGUGUGUACACUCUAUGCAUGUACCCUACAUGGAUCUGGAUGUGUGUGCACUCUGUACGCACGUAGUGCACUUAUGUACACUCCACGUAUUCGGAUGUGUGUACGCUCUAUGCAGGUACACGUGUUACAGUGUGCCAUAUACGUACAUUAUGUGGAUGUAAAUGUGUGUGUGCGCUCUAUGGCACCAGGAAUAGGGCUCCCGCAGGGAUCCAAGAACGCACCAUCUCGCUGGCACCGGAGCGUGUAGGAUGAAAACAGUUGUUUGUUACAACCUAGUUGAAAUUUGGCAGGUUACUCUACCCUUUGCAACGAUUUAGGAACAGUCACUUCAUUGAUGUGUGUGUUCCUGAAAUCAUAAACAGCUCUGUGAGGUGUGUCUCAUCCCCAGACGAGAGAGGGAACCGAAACAACAAUGACUCGGUCACUUAAGUGAGGUAGAACUAACAGAGCAGCUGUCUAGCUUUCUGUAUUAUAACUUUGUCAGCAGCUCAAUGAGAAAUCGGCACUCAUCAGGAAAUGUGUCCACUUUCUACUGUUCUUUAUUCGUGGCGUAUUAACUGCCUCGUGUUAUUCCUCACGAUGUAGCAAAAUCCCUCCUAGAGUUGUGAAUAUAAACAGUUCAUGACAAAUGUAGUAUCUUCUUUGUAACAUUGAAAACGAUAUGUAAGUUCAUCUUCAGAUAUUGUUUGGAAGGAUGAGAAGGAAGAUGUUUAGGACAAAAGAAUAGAGAGCUUUCAAGUAAACAGGGAAAAUAAGGACUUUGUGCAAAAUAUUUCCAAAUUUGGAAUUUGAGAAUACUAAAUCUCACAUCUAAGAUCAUAGGUAGUUUUUUUUUGGGGGGGGGUUAAAAUUAGUACUUGGUUUUCCAUGCCUUUGGGAAUUUCAGUCCUGAUGGAGGAUUGCAAGAAUAAUCUGAUUUUUCAGAACAGAAGGGCAGUCUGUCUCAAAGGUAAAUUCCAGGUUGUACCAUAGAGAAAUAGAAAUUGCUGUCAACUUUCUGUAAGGUUCUUCAGUUCUUUCCUCUUCUGUGGUUAAAAAAACCAUCUCUGGGUUUAGUCUCAGCCAAGUUCCUCUUAUGAGGUUGCCUUACAUUUCGCACAGCUGUUGAGAGUCUUCAUCAUUCGUAGUUAACUUGUUAAAAGCAAAACCUUGUACUAGUUAGAUCUGGGCACCUUGAAGGCAGGGGUUUGUUUUAUAUUUUUAAUAAGCAGCAGGGUGAUGGCAGGGCUAGGGCCCUUCAUCCCAUCAUGCAUUCCUCUGAGCUUUCAGAGCUCUCACUGCAUGCUGAGUGGUGUUGGCUGUUUAGGGUUUAAAUAGGAAGACGAGGCUCUGCGACUUGGGACGCUCUUACUACCUUCAUAGAGAGCUUGGUGACAGUUUAGCAUGACAGUUUGUGCCCCUGCUGUGUAUACUUUGUUACGGCCUCACAGAAAGGGUAUUGAUUUAAACGUGACUAAUUUCUUCAUGUUUAUUUUUGCCUUUAUUCCUAGUUACAGUCCUGAUAAUUUUUCUUCCUUUAAAAUCUUGCUAAUGGCUAGUGAAUUAGUGAUAAACUAUAUUUACGUGUUCUCUAAAUCUAGCGAUUUAAUUGGAGGUCAUUCUUCUUGCACCAUGUGUCAGUGCUAUGUCAGGAUGGCUCAGUUUUACAUUGUCAAAGGAUUAACUAGAGCAGGAUGCAGCCUUACUGGAAAUUGCUCGUUUGUGAAAUACAGGCACUUUAUUUUUUGUUAUACUCGAGGUGUGUUCAAAUGUAAACAUUUUGAGCCGUGUUAGAAGGAUAUACAAGAUUGUAAUGAAGAAAGCAGCAACUUGAUCAAGUACUAGCUAAUGAAUUUUAUGUUUUAAGUAUAUGGACUGUGGACCUUGGCAAUCAGUUCUCAUCUUGACCUUUUAUUGUUUUAUUAGAAUCUUGCUCUGUCACCCAGGCUGGAAGGGUGGAGCCCAGGAGUACAAUCUCCAUUCACUGCAACCUCUACGUCACAGGUUCAAGCGAUUCUUAUGCCUCAGCCUCCCUAGUAGCUGGGGUUACAGGGUGUGUGCCACCAUGUCUGGAUAAAUUAUUUUUAGUAGAGAUGGGGUUUUGCCAUGUUGGCCAAGCUGGUCUGCAACUCCUGACCUCAAGUGAUCCACCCACCUCAGCUUCCCAAAGUGCUGGGAUUACAGGUCUGAGCCACCAUCGCUGGCCUGACCUUCUGUUCUAAUAUUGGUUAUUCAGUCUCGAUGAUAGCACCUGGUUGUAUUAACUUGGGGUAGAAAGCACAAUUGCAAUGAAUCUGGUUGUGUAUAUACGUGCUGACUUAGCGUUCAUGGCAGCACUGUGAGGUGGGCAUUGUUCCUGAAGGAAGGCCGAUGGGCAAGUCGGGGCUUAGAUACGGGACUUGUGGGCAAUCACUGCUGUCCCAUGGCUGAGAUCAGGCCUGUCUGUCGCCUGUACCCUGAACUCUGAACACACAAACGAGCAACUGUCAAGAGUCGGUGCUCGAGUGUGAUGUGGCCUGUGGUGUUUGCCUCGCAGCGCUGCUUUGGCUCGGGGCAACAGGGCAACAGCUCCCUCCCUCGUUCGGCUGCCUGGGAGUCCCAGGAGAACCCACUGAUACCGUUUAUAAAUGCCGGACAUCGAGCGUUCUCCUUGGUACCAGCACAUCUGGAAUUGGACAGCUCGGUUAGAUUCUCGGCCAGCAAACCUGUACAAGAGUGUGUGAACUCUGCGUUUGCUUCGCCCGGACAAAGGUGAAUUCGUGGUCACUACUGGAUGGCAACAGGUGUGGCCUCAGGAGCAGCACGGAGACAGGCACCCGGGUGCAGGAAGAGCAUCUGCAAGAGGGGGUGGGGAAGGUGACAGACGCACGUGCGAGUUUAGCUGU